UUCUUUUGAGAUUACUGCUUGCUUAAUGUGAUUAGCAUUGCAUUAGCGUCUGUUUAGGAUUACUUGAAUUCGCAAUUUGGGAAUAUCUGAUGAACUUACUUUGGUUUUUCGCUCCCACAAUUGCGAACAGACAGAAACAAUAGAUAAAUUGAUGAGGGAAUUGGGAGAGCAAGUGCUGGAACGAGAGUUCUGUCAAAGUACUGCAAAAAGUUUUAAUCGCUCUGCAGCUCGUGCUGGGAAACCUAUUGUAAAAUGGACUGAGGUUAACACUUUCUAUCUCUUUUUCUGCUUUUCAUUUGAUUGCACUUGUUACCGUUGUUUUUACCAUAAGGCGGCAUUGAUUAAUCGUGUCUAAAGCGCUUCUCUGUUGGAAUGGUCCUAGUUGCAAAGCUGGUUCGAGAAUAGGGUGAAAGAGUCACCAAACAUAUGCAGAAAUUACCCUUCGAAUAAGGCACACAAAAGUUCCGAAAUACCUAAAGAAGAAAAGAUCCCAGACGUAUCAGAGUUGGAAUUUGAGGCAAGGUCAUCAAAAGAUGGGGCAUGGUUAGUAUACAAACAAGGAUGACUUUGUCAUUGAAUUUCUCGGUCCCUUUACGUGUGUUCUUGUUGGAUGCAUCAGUUUGUCAUUAUUGCUAUCUUGUUGGUUAUUAGCAUUUUUUUUUGUGGCAAAACCUUGGGCCUAAUUUGGUGAGCCUAGCAAACUGGGCGUUUGUUACAAAUCAUGAAAAGAUUGAUACGAGGCAUUUGGUGAAGGAUGUAAGGAAAUAGAUCCUCAUGUACACCUGACUAUCCUGUGAAUAGUACAAGUUUAAUGCCUCGAUCGAUGUCUAUUCAGCCACCUCAUUGUUAAGCCAAGAGAUAGGACAGAGUUUGAAAGUAUAAUGAAAACUAAAAUAUAGUUUCAAUGUUUGAUUUUUCCUAUAUAUUUUGAUAGCAACGAUCUUCAACUGUGUGCGCCGUUGAAUUUAUGUUCUGAUUGCCUUGAUUGUAAUUCUUAUGGAAAAAGCUUUUUCUUCAACUGAGUUGAGGUCCAGGCUUCACCUUGAAAGUCAUUCUUCAAGUGUAAAAUAGUUCUCCAAACUUUAUUCUUUCACUCAAUUUUCAUCUCUGGUUCGUUAUGCUAUAUCUGUACGCUUUAACUGACCGUGAACCUCUACAUGUUUUGAGACCAUGAGACGCUUUCUAUCUUUUUCCUCCAAUCCUAUCAGCCCUUCUCCUCUCUCUCCCCGACUCUCUUAUAUUGCUUUGCAGGUAUGAUGUUGAAAAGUUCCUUGCUCACAGAUUCCUUAGAACGGGCGAAACUGUAAGUAUUUAAAUCAUAACUUAUUGCUCUAUCCGUGAAUAUACUGCUGAUCGACACGUUGGUCUGAACUUUGAGUACGUAUAAGUCUAACCGGAGAGUUGGAGACCACUUGGAUUUGGAAAACAGCGUACAAAAACCAGACCUAGCCAUACAUAAGUUCAUUAAGUGACCUUUGUCAUUUAUUAAAGGAAGUUCGUGUCAGAUUUGUCGGAUUCAGAGCCGAAGAGGAUGAGUGGGUUAAUGUGAAAAAAGCAGUGCGGGAGCGCUCCGUGCCACUGGAGCAUUCAGAAUGUCGUACAUUGAAGGUUGGAGAUCAUGUCCUCUGCAUCCUGGAGAGGAGAGAUGAAGCAA